ACUCGAGUGGCGAACGGGUGAGUAACACGUGGGUGAUCUGCCCUGCACUUCGGGAUAAGCCUGGGAAACUGGGUCUAAUACCGGAUAGGAGCCAUUUUUAGUGUGAUGGUUGGAAAGUUUUUCGGUGUAGGAUGAGCUCGCGGCCCAUCAGCUUGUUGGUGGGGUAAUGGCCUACCAAGGCGGCGACGGGUAGCCGGCCUGAGAGGGUGAUCGGCCACAUUGGGACUGAGAUACGGCCCAG
rnacentral:rRNA from 1 species